AAUGAGAAAGAAAAGAAAAAGAAAAUAAGAAAGAAAGAAAGAAAGAAAAGAGCGACCGGGAGAGCUAUUUAUGUGAUGACAACAUUGUGAAGACAAAGCACUUUGAAAGACUUAGAGACUCUGAUCAAUGCAAUUGUCCACCAUGAUUCUGUUUUUUUUUUUUUUUUUUUGCUUUUGUUUUUGUUUUUUAUUUAAUAAUAACUUUAUAUUGACAGAAUCCAUGCCAGGGUAAUUUUUUUUACAACAUUAUCCCUUGCACUCAUUUCUGUUCGGAUUUUUCCCCUCCCUCCCUCCACCCCCUCCCCUAGAUGGCAAGCAGUCCUAUAUAUGUUAGAUAUGUUACAGUAUAUCCUAGAUGUCCACCACGAUUCUGGAAGACCCAUGAUGAAGCUUGCUGCCCACCUCCUGAGAGACAUGGGAUGGACUCAGGAUAGUUUGGGAACACAGAUAACUUAGGUAUUUUUUUAGGUGGGGUUUUUCUUUUCUUUUUUCCUUUUUAAAUGGGGAGAGAAAGAGAGAAAAGAAAUGCUUUUUGGCUUUGAAAAAUAAGUUAAAAUGAAAGAAUUCAGUGAAAGAAAUAGUAAAACCCCGCAAUUAUGAUCUAAGUGAGAGAAGAAUAAUCGAUUGAGUAUAAAAAAAGAAUACAUACUCCUCUCACCAACUUUUUCUUCUCUGUAGAGAAUGGGUGGGGAUCAAAGAAAGGGAAAAGUAUAAGAGAAUUGGUAGAAGGAAAUACACAAUUAACAUCACGUGAUUGUCAUUAGGAUCAACUCACCCAUAAAACUAAAGGAGACAGCAGAAUGGAGUAAAAAGAAGAAUCUAACAAUAGUUGUUUAUAAGAAGCACAUUUGAAACCUGAAGAUUCACAGAUUAAAAUAAUGAGCAAAGGCAAAAUCUAUUAUGGCUCAGAGAAACUGAAAAAAAGAGAGAGGAAUAAAAAAGCAAGGGAAACAAUCAUAGUUUCACACAAGGCAAGAACAAAAAUAGACUUGAAUAAAAAAGAUAAAGAGGGAUCCUACAUUAUGCUGGAAAGUAUUAUAGAUGCUGAAUUACUUUUAUUACUUAAAUAGACAGUAAAACUAGAAAAAUGGUCAGCAUCCUCAAAUGUAUCCCUUUCAGACUUAGACAAGUCUAACAAAUGCUAUAAAAGAAACCAAGAAGGAUGAAGAUUAGAGAGAGAAUUUAAGAGCAGAAAGAGCAUAUGUGAAAAGAAUCUUCACUAUGGUGCACACAAGAAUAAAAAAGUAAUCACAUAUGGCAGUUAAGAGAUCAUUUUAUUUGAAUGACAAAAUCAGAGGCCAGAUUACAAAAGAUUGAGGAAACAAAGUGGGGGGCAACUAAGACAUGCAGUUUUUUUUUUUUAUAAGAGUUUGACUGAGAAAAGGAGAAUUGUUUGAAAAUUGUUUAAGGGAUCAUAAGGUCAUGAGGGUUUUAAAAAUGGGGAAGAUAGGGGUGUAUUUUAAAGCUGGGAAAGAGCCAGUAGAUAUAGUGAGAGAGAUUAAAAAUGAGAAAUACACAGGCAUACAUAGAGAUAGAGUCAUAGGAAACAAAGAGAGAGGGAGGGAGAAUAAUGAUAGAGGAAAUCUGUUAGAGAAGAUAAGAGGAAAUGAGACCAAGGAUAAAUGUACAGGAGUUUGCUUUGUCCAGGAGAAAGUCUGUGUCUUCUUUAGAGAAUGGAAUGAAGGAGGAAAAAAGGAAAGAUGGUGUCAAAUCAGGUUGAUUUUAAGGUUUUGAAGACAGGAAAGGAGAAGGAGCUUGUGGUGAAUGGUUUCUAUUUUCUCAGUGUUUCUCCCAAGAGAGUAGAGGUAAGUGGGAGAUGUGAGAGCCUGGAAGAAAGCAGAGAAAGUGUGGAACAGUUGUUGAGGAGAGCAGGAGAGUGAAGGAGAAGAGGAUUGCCUUGCUGCAGUGAGGACCCAGUUUAAGUAAGAUACCAUGAAUUUGUAGUGGCCCCUGUCAACACAAUUCAUAACUUGUCCCAGUUCUGCUCAGCAACAUGUGAAUAGGAGCAGAUGAGAUGGGUGGUGGGGGCAAUGAAGGCAAACCAGGGGUAAAGGUCUGGGAGAGGACUGGAAGCUGGAGGAGUUAGAACAGGGACCAAAAGGAUAUUUCAGAGGGAUAUAGGGAGAUGUCGCAUGAUAGGGAUGACUUUCUAAUCCUAAAUCUGUAAUCCUGUGGUAGAAAACAAGUCAACAAAUACUUACAAUACCCAACUCUGUCCUGGCUAGACUGCAGAGGAAACUGAGAGGGAAUAUACCCAGACUCUGUCCUAAGGGAGCACCUGGUCUGAUGAGGCAGGAGGAGCACAUCCAGGCUUCUGUUCUGAGGAAGACAGAGGCAGAGGAAGCAGUUCCUAGCUCUGACCUUGGGGACCUAAAGCUUUAGGGGAGACAGGAAAUAGAUCCAGGCUCUCUCUCCUAGGCUCUGACUUCAGAAUAUUUAUCAUUUAAAAGAGAGGAGAAAGACCCUCAAGCCCUGGUCGCAGGGAACUUCUAAUCUGCUAGGCAGCUUGAAAUGGAGCCACGGUGGUGGAAUAAGGGAGAAACUUGCCUGAGCUAAAUUCACUUCCAAACAAUGUAAAAUAAGAUUUUUUUUCUGGCCACUGCUUUAUAAUAUAGUUUUAGAUCUGAUACAGCUAGGCCACCUUCAUUUGAUUUUGUUUUCAUUAGUUCCCUUGAAAUUCAUAGCCUUUUGUUCUUCCAGAUGAAUUUUGUUGUUAUUUUUCCUAGGUCAUAAAAUAGUUUCUUGGGAGUUUGAUUGGGAGUUUUGUACCUGUGAUUGGCAGCUACACCCAAAGAAAGAACACUGGGAGAUGAAUAUAAACUGCUGGCAUUUUUGUUUUUCUUCCGGGAUUAUUUAUACCUUCUGAAUUCAAUUCUCCCUGUGCAACAAGAAAACUGUUCGGUUCUGCACACGUAUACUGUAUCCAGGAUAUACUGUAACCUAUUCAACAUGUAAAGAAUUGCUUGCCAUCUGGGGGAAGGGGUGGAGGGAGGGAGGGGAAAAAUAGGAACAGAAGUGAAUGUAAGGGAUAAUGUUGUAAAAAAUUACCCUGGCAUGAGUUCUAUCAAUAAAAAGUUAUUAAAAAAUAAAAAAAAAAAGAAUCAAUUACACAAAUCAAAAGUAUGAAAAAUAGAAGAAAAUAGAAAAUAUCUCAUUGGAAAAAACAACUGAUGUAGAAAGUAGAUCCAGGAAAGAUAAUUUAAAAAUUACUGGCCCAUCUGAAAGCUAUUAUUUAAAAAAAAAAAAUAUAGACAUAACAUUUUAAGAAAUUAUUGAGGAAAAUUGCCUUGAUAUGUUCUUUCCAGGGGGUAAAUAAAAAUGGAAAGAAUCCACCAAUCAUUUCCUGAAAGAGAUCCUAAAAUAAUUCCCAGGAAUAUUAUAACCAAAUUCCAGAAUUCCUAGGUCAAGACAAAAAAAAAAAUACCACAAGCAGCCAGGAAGAAAUAAUUCAAAGAUCAUAGGGCCAAGGUCAGGAUUACACAGGAUUUAGCAACUUCUAUAUUAAAGGACCAGGAGGUUUGGAAUAUGAUAUUCCAGAAGGCAGAGGAGAUAAGAUUACAAGCAAGAAUGAACUAUGGUUGUAAGCAAAAUCCUUCAGGAGAAAAAAAUAAUAUUUAAUAAAAUAGAGGGCUUUUAAACAUUCCUGAUAAAAAGACCAGAGCUGAGCAGAAAUUUUGAUUUUCAAAUUCAAGAUCCAAGAGAAGUAUAAAAAGAUCAGCAAGAAAGAUAAAACAGUUUAACAGCUUAUAUUUUUAUAUAGGAAGAUCACACUUGGAGCUUUUAAGAAUUGUAAUGCUAUUAGGGCAAUUAGAGGGAACAGACAUAGAGGGGGCAGAUAUAAGUUGGGUUUUAAUGGGAUGAUAUCCUGCCAAAAAAAUUAAGGGUGAGAAAGAGAAUUAUACAGGGAGAAGAGGGAAGGAAGAAUAGAAUGGGAUAAAUCAUCUCACAUGAAUAAGCAUGAAAGGUUGUGUAUAGUGAGGGGGGGAAAUGGGGGAAGAUUGUCUGAACCUUAUUGGCAUUGGAAUUGGUCCAAAGAAGGAAUAACAUACACACUCGGUCGGUAUAGAAAUAUAUCUUACCCUAUAAGGAAGAAGGAAGGGAGGAGCAAAAGCAAAGGGAGGACAGAUUACAGAAAAUAGUGCUCAGAAGCAAAGUACCAGCGAGGAAGGACAGGAUAAAAGGAGAGAGAGAAGAGGAGAAAGAGGAUAAACAAUAGGAAAAUGGGAUGGAGAGAAAUACACAGAAAGCAUAACUGUGAGUGUGAAUGGGCUGAACUUACUCAUAAAACAUAAACAGAGAGCAGAAUGAAUUAAAAAUCUGAAUCAACGAUUUGUGUUUAGAAGAAUCACGUCUGAAGCAGUAAGACAUGCCCGGACUAAAGGUAAAAGGCUGGUACCAAAUCUAUUAUGCUUCAAAGUUAAAAAGUAAAUAAAUAAACAAAGCAUGAUAGCAAUCACGAGCUGACAAAGCAAAAGCAAAAAAUAGAUCUAAUUAAAAGAGAUGAGUAGGAAAGUGCAUUUUACUAAAAAGAUGCUAUAGACAAUGAGUAUCGAUACUAACCAUAUACCCUCCAAAUGGUAUAACAUUCAGAUUUUUAAAGAAGUUAAAUAAGCUAUAGAGGAAAUAGACCAUAAAACUACACUAGUGGGAGGGCUCAACUUGCCUUUCUUAAAAUUAGAUCAAUCUAAAUAUACAUAGUUAUAUAAAUAUAAAUAUUAUGUAUUACUACAUAUAAAUAUAUUAUACAAUAUAAAUCAGAAAGUAGUUUAGGAAGUGAAUACAAUUUUAUAAAAGUUAGACAAGAUAGAUGUAUGGAGACAAUGAAUGGGAAUAGAAAAGAAUAUACCCUUUUCUCGGUGGUACAUGGCAUCUUCACAAAAAGUGACCAUCUGUUAUCAUGGUAAUCAUUAAAAGUCUUUGAUAUUGGCUGAGAAAUAGAAUGAAUGGAACUGAUUAGAAAAACAAGUCACAAUGGUAAAUGACCAUAAUAAUCGGGUAUUUGAUAAACCCAAAGAUUCCAGCUUUUGACAGAAACUGCUGGGAAAACUGGAAAACUGUAUGACAGAAACUAGACAGAGCCCAACAUCUUGUAUUGUAUACCAAGAUAAGGUCAAAAUAGGUACAUAAUUCCAACAUAAAAGGUGAUACCAUAAGCAAGAAAUAGUUUACCUGUCAGAUCUGUGGAUCAGGAAAGAAUGUACAACUAAACAAGAUAUACAUUACAAAAUAUAAAAUGGAUAGUUUUGAUUACAAGAAAUUUUACAAGGUUUUGAACAAACAAAAUCAAUGUAACCAAGAUUAGAAGGAAAGCAGAAAGCUGGGGAACAAUUUUGACAGUAUUUCUGAUAAAAGCCUCAUUUCUCAAAUAUACAGAGAACUGAGUCACAUUUGCAAGAAUACAAGCCAUGCUUGUACCAGUUGACAAAUAGUCAAAGGCUAUGACCCGGCAGCUUUCAGAUCAAGAAAUCAAAGCUAUCUACAGGCAGAUGCAAAAAUGUUCUAGAGCUCUAGAAAACCUGCAUAGCUUUGAAAACAAAUGUGACAUUUAUUAUAUAGGUUUUCUUGCCAUGUAAAUUUAUUGUUUUAUACUGAAUCGUCUAUUUUGUCCUACUGUGUACAUGGCGAUGAUUUUUUUCUCAUUUUAUAUUUGUUUACAUUUUUUGAAAUUGUUUAAAAAAUAAAUAAGAAAAAGCAAAGAUUUAAAAAAGAAAAAAAAUGCUCUAAGUCACUAUUGAUGAAAAAGAUGUAAACAAAAAUAAUUCUGAGAUAUUAGCUCAUACCUAGCAGAUGGGCUAAUAUGACAGAAAAGGAAAACGAGAAAUGUUGGAGGGGAUGUGGGAAGAGUGUGAACCAUUCUGGAGAGGAAUUGGGAACCAUGCCCAAAGGGCUAAAAAACUGUUCCUACUCUUUGAUCUAAGCCCAAGGAGUUCUAGAUCUGUAUGCAUCCUUUGAUCUAGAAAUACAUCUAGAUCCCAAAAAGAGUUUUUAAAAGUGGAAGGGAGUU